GCCAUCAGAUUUCUACUAGUGGUUCUGCUUCUUCAUCACUUCAAUAUACUACCUAAAAGACACCAACAUAGUUGGGCUACAAGCAAAUUUGUAAGAUAAUGGCUUGUGCUGCUUUAUCAGCAAACAGCUGCACCAUAGCUUCAUCGUCUACUGGACGAUUGAGCUUUUCCACAUACCAAAAGGACUCAAAAUUGAGGCAAAGACACAGUCUCGUCCGAUUCAGAGUUCGGGCUUCAACUGACGAUUCUGAUUGCAAUGCUGAAGAAUGUGCCCCAGACAAGGAGGUUGGGAAGGUGAGCAUGGAAUGGGUAGCCAUGGACAACACCAAAGUGGUUGGUACAUUUCCACCUCGUAAGCCGCGUGGCUGGACAGGGUAUGUUGAGAAGGAUACUGCUGGGCAGACAAAUAUAUACUCUGUUGAGCCUGCAGUUUAUGUAGCAGAAAGUGCUAUAAGCUCUGGUACUGCAGGCACCUCAUCUGAUGGAGCAGAGAACACCAAAGCUAUUUCAGCUGGGAUAGCCUUAAUCUCUGUUGCAGCUGCUUCAUCGAUUCUCCUUCAAGUUGGGAAGAACUCACCUCCUCCGAUACAAACAGUGGAGUACAGGGGACCAUCCCUUAGCUACUAUAUCAACAAGCUUAAGCCAGCGGAAAUAGUCCAAGCUUCAAUAACCGAAGCACCAACUGCACCAGAAACCGAAGAAGUAGCAAUUACACCAGAAGUUGAAAGCUCUGCUCCAGAAGCUCCUGCUCCACAAGUUGAAGUCCAAUCUGAAGCCCCUCAGGACACUUCAAGUUCAAGUUCUAACAUCUCUUAGGACAAAUCAUUUUGCUUGCUUGUAUAUUUUUAUUUGUAGAUGACCUAGUAUACAUAUUUCAGUAAGCUUUUGUAAUACUACUAUUCAAAGAGAACAAUUAUCUGUAUCGAAAAUCAAUUA
rnacentral:misc_RNA from 1 species